CCAAUUUGGUCCGGUUCGGGCGCGUCGAACAGACGCCGAGCGAACAUCACCUCCCAUGUCCGCCCAAGGCUAAGCAAACGAUCAUGUACAAGAAUUUACCCAGGAAUCAAUUCACGAGUACACAAUCACGAAGUGCACGACCAGUGCUAACAGGUAAGAGCAAGGUACAAGUAUAUAGCAUACAAGUAACAAUAAAGAGAGAACAUCUAUCUAUUACAUCCAUUCAAUUCACAAAUUUACAUCUCAUUUACAUUACAUUUAAACUUCCAAAAUAUAAACAUAAAGCUUACAUUUCCAAAAUGAAACCUCACACCCUAUACAUCAUCUACUCUCAAGUACAACGGGUGGCUCUAAUGCAAAAGGAAGGUAAGCUAAUGCAACUAGGGCGCUAGGCCCUUACCGCGAUCCUCGCCGGGUGAACUCGCACUCGGCCCUGCAAUAAAGUGGGGUGAGAACUAUUGUCCAUAGUUCCCAGUGGGUUCGGCCGCCGACUCCGCCGGUCUCCCCACUAGGUCCAAGUGGGCACAAAUAGAUAAACAGAUAGAUAGAUAUGGAAAGCUGUAAGGACAGAAUAGAAAACUACACUACUAUACCCGAAUCAUAAAUAUAUGAAUGCACGUUCAUAGAAAUAGGUAAGCAACUAACUCGUCAUCAUGUCCAAGAAGUAAAGCUAUUUACUUGUUCAUUAAUCUCAUGGCUCACCCGAGGGUUCGCCUACUACUCACAUAGCCAUCUUGACGCGUAGGGAGACUCAACUCAAACUACGAAUCCGAGACCGUCUGCGGGACCCCACAUAGGCUAUCCCUCGGGACCCCAAAUAGGCUAUCCCUAUCCCACGGGACCCCAAAUAGGCUAUCCCACGUGACCAACUCCGGAGCGCACUACUUGUGUGGAGCUACCAUCACAAGUUCUGAACAGACAGUGAGUAUAAUCCAAUCCUCUUAUCUCGAGGAUACCCUAUCCUCUAGGGUUACUAUCAUCGGAAAGUCAAUAGGUUUCAUAUACACUAAGACUCACAUAUGCCACUCGUUCUUUGUUUACUAUCAACUAGGUGCCACUCGUUCUUUUGUUUAUUAUCAACUAGAUGCCACUCGUUCUUUUGUUUUCAACCAUCGAGUCCAUUUUCAUCUCUGCAUUAUAGGAUUCAUAAGUCUCGACCCAAUCCUCAUCAAUCCACUAUAUCAAGCAACUAAUGUACACUAUGAUAUCAUCUAGGAAAGCAUAAGGAAAGGCAAUGCACAAUUAUCCUACAAUGCAUGUGAAUACAAGAUGCAAGAUUUCAAUGUACUAAGACAUAGGAGGGAGUCCAGUUGCUUCGGGAUGGUCACCACCCACCUCUUGGUAGUGCCACGAAAUUAGAAAACCCAACGUCGCUUCAACUCCUCGGGGCAACCAAACCCUCAAGUACUUGUUUUGGCGAUAACUCCGCACCCGCUCGUCGGAUCGACGAACCGUCUUCGCCAACGUUUUUAUAGACCUAGCAAUUAGGUUUACAGAGGGUUAAUUGAGAUCAAACCCCCAUAUUUCCAAAAAUUGCAUUUUGAACCCUAGGUUUCAACUUUUGCAAAAAUUCACAAAAUUGAUCCAUGAUUUAGGCAACAAUCAUCUAUUUAGCAUCAUAGGAUUCCAAUAAAUCCAUUUUUAUAGCAUAUAAAUAAAGCCCUAAAAUUCUACCAUUAUAGGGUUUUGAAGUGCCCUAGGUUUCAACAACGAGGAAAUCCAUGGUUCAAGCUUCAAAUUCGAGCUAGGACCAUCUAACUAGCUCCAAUAGGUUCCAUUCGAACCAAUUCUAAACCAUAAAACCCUAUCUUAAGGAAUCUACCAUUAUAGGGUUUUGGAGCUUACCUCUAAAAGCUUCUCCGAGGUUGAGGGAGAGGAGGAAGAAGAUGAUCUUCCUCUUCUUGGUCUUCUUCUCCUUCCUUCUUUCUUUUCUUUUUCCUUUCUUUUCCUUCUCCUUUCCUUCUUCUUUCUUUCUUUCUUUCUUUCUUUCUAGAGAGAGAGAGGGAAAAGAAUGUGAGAGUGGGAGAGAAUGAGAGAACGUGAGGGAGAAGGUGUGUGUGUGUGUGUGUGUGUGUGUGUA
rnacentral:lncRNA from 1 species